rnacentral:lncRNA from 1 species
UAUGCCGAAUCUAACUAUGUAUGUAGAUUCUUAAUUUUUGGUCCCGUUUUCAAAUUGGUCUACAUUAAGGUCCAAAGGGUCCAAAAUUAAACUUAGUUUGAUUUUAACAAAAAUUGAAUCCUUGGGGUUCUUUGAUAUGCUGAAUUUAAAAAUGCACCUAGAUUUUUAAUUAUUGGCCUAGUUUUCAAGUUGGUCCAAAUGGGGG